rnacentral:rRNA from 1 species
GUGAGGAAUAUUGGUCAAUGGGCGAGAGCCUGAACCAGCCAAGUCGCGUGAAGGAAGAAGGAUCUAUGGUUCGUAAACUUCUUUUGCAGGGGAAUAAAGUGCGGGACGUGUCCUGUUUUGUAUGUACCCUGAGAAUAAGGAUCGGCUAACUCCGUGCCAGCAGCCGCGGUAAUACGGAGGAUCCGAGCGUUAUCCGGAUUUAUUGGGUUUAAAGGGUGCGUAGGUGGUUUGAUAAGUCAGCGGUGAAAGUUUGCAGCUUAACUGUAAAAGUGCCGUUGAAACUGUCGGACUUGAGUGUAAAUGAGGGAGGCGGAAUGCGUGGUGUAGCGGUGAAAUGCAUAGAUAUCACGCAGAACUCCGAUUGCGAAGGCAGCUUACUAAGCUACAACUGACACUGAAGCACGAAAGCGUGGGGAUCAAACAGGAUUAGAAACCCGGGUAGUCC